CAUGGCCGCCAUGAUUGUAAGAGAUUGAACUUGGACUUGUCUCAACAUUCAACUCUAUCAAAGUUACACUUUCAGCAUUUACCUGGGAGUCUACAAUUAAAUAUAUCAACACCGUCAUUAGUUGAUGUUACGUUGUGGAGAAUCAAUCUCGAUGAAAGUUCAUUGUUACUGUCACGUGACAUGUUGAAUAUUGAACGUGUGGAGUUGAGGUAUAUAGAAAUGUCUGCAGGAAGUUUACAGAACUUUAUUAUCGAGCUGGAAAAUCUGCCGCAGUCAGUUACAGUAGAGAUGUCCGCCAUUAAACCGGAAACAGAAUAUGACCGUGUGAGAGAAAAUAUUCGGAGAUCACAAACUUUUCAUGUGAUACCAGACGGGUGGCAGUUUUGAGUUCAAAACAAUAAAACCAAGCAAAGAAUAGACAAGAAAAAAUAUUGUGAAAUAAACUAAAUAAAUUAUUUCAAUUAUUUUAAAUAAUUAAAACAAUUAAAAUAUGGACACUUAGAAACAAAAUGGCGACUCUUCAAAUUACACUAUAGUCAUCAAUUAGGACAUACAUGUACAUCCGUUUUCAAUUAAUAAAUUCCGAUACAAGUAAAUAUAGAUGAAAAAUAACUGAUAGAAAUAAUUCAUGGAAGUUUUUUACAACUUUUUUACGGAUCUUAAUGGAUAUAAAAGUUGGACAAGGAUAUGGAAAUAUUUCACAGCGGCAUUGGAUCAUCAUGCAAAACCUCUUGUGGCGUUUACCAUUAUGAUUUGUGUGGUGAAAGAUCAAUUUUAUUGGGAUGAUGAGAUAUGUUUUGAACAACUUUUUUGGAAACAAAAGUUUCAUGUUUUUUGCAUGUUAAGAAAAUGAGCUUCAGUAAAACUAUAGUGACAAUGAUGACAACGCUUCUAUGAGAAUUAAAUAUAAAGGCUUGACAUCUGGUUCCUGGCAUAACAGAAACAUACACGAAAGAAAAUUGCUCUAAAAUAGUUUCGUAUAAUAUUCUGAUUAAUAGAUUAACCCGAAACAGACUAGCAAACUGUUGCAUUGUUUUACCAUAAAUGGUAAUUUACGUGUAAAAAAAAAUAUUACCACCAAGGCUGCUGUCAAAUAUAUUCCUGAGUUCCUUCAAAAUAUGUUUUGUGGAUUACUGUCAUACCGUUUGAAAACCUUUAUUGAUUUGAGAACAUCUUAUUGAAUUAAAGUUUUGGUUUAUCAAAUAAGGGACAUAAAGUAUAGAGGGAUAAGCAACUACCGACUGAUGAUGGCGUCCAGCUGACAGCCAAUCUGCAAUCAUAUAUUUAUGUCGCAAUUGUUAAACAAUAUAUUGACAAAAUAUUGUAAAGAUCAUUCAGAUACUAAAGGUCGAUACAAUAUUUCAUAUUUCGCCAUUUGCUUUAUACUUUUCUUAUUUACACUAAUUACAACGGACAAAAAUAUACCCGUUUACAACUACCAAAAAGACAAAUCAACGAAAAGAUAACGUAGCGCUAGUCUCUAGUUGCUUGUCCCAUUAUAUUUUGUCCUAGAUCUAAUGAAAACGGACGUUACAUAUGUACUGUAUUAUAAGAGUUAUAAUCAUUUUAUUUAAUUAGAUAUUCAUGUAUAAAUUUCUCUAGCAGUUUAAGAGUAAACAGCAAGAAUUAUUAGACAAAAAGUAAUUUAUCAUUAGAUUAUUGUUAAAUCUGACAAAGCAUAUACUUAUAGUCUUAUAAUUACAUGUAUUGAAAUUUGUAAUGUAGUUUGAUUUUCCUCUUUUAUAUAUUUUUUUUUUAUUUUUUGAACAAACGAUUUCAGCGUUGACAUAAAGGGACUUUGAAAGGACGCUUCCUUCCAAAGGAAAAUAUUACAAAUAGUUGCCUUUUUGUGAUAUAAUUUUUUUUCAAAUUUUUAUAUUUGUACAUAAUAUAGAUAUAUAUUAAUUGUAGUAUUAGUUAUAACGAUUUUGUCAUGUAGCACUCACGUUGUGUCCCAGGUUAUACAUUUUAAACUGUUUAUAUAGGGCAUAUAACCUGUCGAAAAUCUUUUUAACUUAGUACGUUUUGAAUAUAACCCUUCAAAAUAUCCUUAUGAGAUCCUUGCACUCAAGAAAAAACAAAUCAUCAUUUAUUCUGCUUAGAUGUGUUUAUCGUAGAAGGUUUGUCUGUAUACAUUAAAGGCCCAGUAAGCUCCAAUAAGCUAAUUUCUCAAAAACUUUUCAUUUUUGCCGUCACUUUUGGUUUUGCUUCUGUUUAAUUACAUUUAUUUAGUAUUUUGUAUGGAUGUCAACAAAACUAUAGUGUUUACAUUUUGCUUCCUUGCAAUACGUAUACGUAACUGUACAUUCAAGUUUAGUUUCUUGUGUUUUUUAACAUCUAAAAUAGACUAGAUCAAUUAUUAUAUAUUAUUGAACACAUAUUUGACCUGUCUAAAGAAUAAAAAAAAGGAUCUAUUUCUGAGGCAUUAUGUGCCUUUAAGAUACAAAUUAUUUCAUUAUCUCGUUGUUUUGCAAAUCCAUGUUCUAGUCUUUUUUGAUGGUUUUGUUUAAAGGCCCAUUAGGUUUUUUUUUAACAAUUUUCUACACGUAAGACAUACUACUGCAUGUUCUGUAUCAUUUGUCACUUUUAAAACAUCUCAAAUGCAAUAAAUCCAUAUUUAAACAUAAUUAUUAAACUCAUGCAUUACAUUUCUAUAGAGUGAAAGAAAUAUGGAUUUCUGAGGCAUCAUAUGCCUUUAAGUUGAUUCAAGUUGAUCUAUAUAGCUAGAUGUAUAUAUAUACAAUGUAUAUUACCGCCUUUAGUUUUGAGUUACUGUAAUCUUAUCUAAUUUGUCAAAUUAUUAUGUUAAUAUGUUGUAUAAAGGGAACAUAAAAUUACAUUAGUUUCGAUAUGUAUAUAGCUACAGUAGAUUAAAUCAGUUUAGUUUUUACAAUGCAUACAUUUAGAUAGCACAAUAAGGAAACAUUUACAAUGAUUGCAAUAAGGCAUUCUAGGCUCUACUUUAAUGUAUUAUUUUUGUUGUUGUUGUUGUUUUCUUUUUAAUUUUAAAGAUGACUUAAUGAAAUUUCAGCAAUAUUGCUUUAACAAAUGAUGGAAUUUUCACUCGUUACUAUGACGUCAAAUGUGACGUCAUUUUAUCAUGCAUGUUAUUCAAUACAUGGAGAAUAUUCAAAAUUUAGAAUCUAUAAUCAUAUUAUGUAAGCAUCUGGCGAGCAUGUUAUUGCUUUAGUCAACGAGUUUAAAAAAUUCUAGUAUUGAAUCAACACGAAUAUAUAGAAAAUACUCAAGUUUUGUUUCUAUUAAAAUACAGGAUAUAUUUCCAUCGAGUGAUAUGAACAAUAUUUCUCCAGUGGCAGAAGCUAACUGCAGUGACAAUGCAGAAAUGAAAUUAUGCAUUUUAUUUCAUCACAGUUUCUUAAUAUUUCAUUAAUAAGGGAAGGUUUAUUCUGUAAUCGAGAAAGUUUAUCCAGGCGAGCUUUAGCGAACCAAGAUUCACUUUUGCAGCGAACUGGAUAAACAUUCUCCAUCCCGACAACAAUCUUUAAACGUUUCAUUUUUACAUUUUCCGUGUUUACAUGUAUUUUUUACUAUAUGACGCCAUCAUAGACUAACCAUGUGAAUUAGUGAUGGAGAUUAAUUUCUUGCAUCUCUGACAGAAUUAUCUACCGUUUACACCCCCACUCCAUGUAAGACAAUUCGUGUGCUUUAAAUGACGUCAUUGACGCGCACCUUUUGUGAAUGAAUCACGUUCUUAGGACGACGUCUUUUUCCGUUAUGAAUGAGUUAUAUGUUCAUAAGCUACUAUAAGAAAAAAAGUGCGUAAUGAGAAUUUUAGUUUUCAUAAUUUCUGUUCCGAAAAUAAUUGACAUGUAAUAUGCAAGAAAAAGAAUCAAACGCCGACUAUUGGUACAGUAGGGAAAGAUAGCUCCCGAGAAACUGUUAAGCGGAAACUCGGCAGAGCCUCGUUACCGCUGUAAACAGUUACCCUCGAGCUAGAUAUUCCGGUCUGUACCGGUAGCCGGUGUAAGAUUCUCGCCUGAUAAUAUAGACAGUUACUGUUGUAGGAUAAAUUACAAUCAUGUGCCUUUGUUUAUGUGAUAAUAAUUUUCUGUAUAGUUUCUGUAUAGAUCUAUGUUUUUAGUAAUGCACUAUUUGGUAUGCUGUUGUUUGGAAUGGUAUAAUGAAUAUAAAGUAGAUCUAGCAAAAUGAUUAUUUUCAUAUAUUUUGUUUUUUCGUGUUUUGUUCUGUAACAAAAAUAACACUAACUUAGAAUGUACGUACGUUAAACAGCUGAAGCACUUAUCCCUUUCUUUUGUUUAAUAUAUAUAUAUGCAUAAUGUUUCCAUAAAAUGCACUCAUUAUGUGCUCUCUCUGCUUCAGCAAAGAAUACAUCUUUUUUUAAGAUUUUGAGCUUUUAGCCGUCCGUUGCUUACAAGUAUUUCAAAUGGCGCCAGCUCGGAAACUAUUUGACCUAAUUCAAAAAGCUUUUCCUAGGAUAGUCCUUGCAUUUAGAUCUUCCGCACUUGAUAAGAUGGUUUAAUCCAUUUCAUAUCUAUGUCCCAGAUUAAGUGGCAUUUUGAAAGAUUACAAUUACAGAAGAGCAAGGUAUUUGUUUGUAGCAUUUUGUUCAAAUCAUGCAUUGCAGUCGCAGUUUGGUUUUUUUUGGUAUUGUCACGUUAACUAUUCGUUUUACUCAAAAGCGAUGGAUUUCAGUUCAGCAAUGUACUUUUUGUUACUUUUUCUAGUUUCAUUUUUCUGUAUAUAUAGUUCAUUAUACGAAUUUGUAUAAUUUACAAAGAUAAAUAUUUUGUAUUAUAAUGUAUUCCAAACACCCUUAUUCUUCAAAUAUACAAUCAUCUUUAUUAGUCAUUAUAACCUCAGCGAAGUUUUAAUGUGUUUGUAUACUGGAAUAAUCUUGUACGUCCGUCCCACUAUCACAUAAAUCUGAUAAAGGUAAUUUGCAGUGCCCAAAAACAGUAACUCUUUAAUUUUUUAGAUUGAUUGUUUAAUGUACUUUUUAUUUAAUUUUUGUCCAAAGCAUGACUUAAAAAGCAUCAGAUUUAACUUCAUAAAAAUAUUAAUGAACAAAUAUUUAAUGAACAAAUAUUCUUGAGAAAGAGUGAUGUGUUGAAGAUACAUAACUCUCUAUUACAUAAUGUUGGAGUUACUGACCUUUGCACUUAGUAAAUAAAAUGAUGGUGCGAAACAUAACGUGAAAAGUUGCAUAAAUGAAUAGAACGCAUUUAAGAUAUGCACAUAAGACACAAUACUUUGAUAUGCAAUUGUUACUGCCAUGUACUUUUUCAUAUCUAAUUUCGUCCGAAGGUUGUCUGGUGCUAAAUUUACAAAGGGUUGAAGUAAAGACCUUAAACCUACAUAGAUAUAUUAAACUCAGUUAGGAAAUAUAAUGUAUAUAUUGUAUAAAACCAUACUCUUUUAUACUUGUACAUAUUUUUGUGAUGAUAGACCUUGUAAUUUGUAAUGCUUAUUUUUUGUUCGCUGCCAUUGGUUAAAGUUGCAAUGCACUAUAUUUCAUAAAUUUAAUUCAUUGCUAAUUGUAAUACAUUGUAUUUUAUAUAUUACGUUUUGCCACACGUACGCAGAUGAAGGUAUCUACAAGAUACGUCUUGGGAAGAUAUAUUUUAUUCACAUUUAUGCGUACUACUUAUUUCAUCGCCAUUUGUAAAUAGUUUAUUAUUUUGUUUUUGUCUAGAAUAUAAGCUUAAGUUGAUAUGAUGUAUUAAAAUAAAACUUUAUUAUAUUAUUUUGACAAAACGGUAAACAGGGAAUUAGGACAGUGCUUGUCUAGUUUGAUAUGAUAAAAACUAUUUGAAAAAAAGUUCAUGAUAUAAUGAUUUUAUUAUAAAAGUUAGCUGGAUAACGUUGAAAGAUUUACAAAAGUUGAUAAAAUGAUAGUAAAUAGGUAUUUUACUUUUAUGUAUUUAGUGACUAUUGAAAAUACUAUAAAUAGAUUUCAGUAUUUGAAAAUAUUAGUAUUAUGAUGUGCCUGCAAUAUGUAGGCAUUAUUUAAGAAGGGAAAUAACUUUGCAAAUGUUCGUACUGUUGCUAUAUGUGAACAUACUGUCAGAACUGAGUUUAGCAAUUUAUAAUAUGUUUAC